GGUGAACGCUGGCGGCGUGCUUAAGACAUGCAAGUCGAACGGGCUCUUCGGAGCCAGUGGCGCACGGGUGAGUAACGCGUAACUGACCUACCCCAAAGUCGCGGAUAACGAUUCGAAAGAAUCGCUAAUACGUGAUGUGCUGUCAGAUCCUGUUCUGCCAGUAAAGAUUUAUUGCUUUGGGAUGGGGUUGCGUUCCAUCAGCUAGUUGGUGGGGUAAAGGCCCACUAAGGCGACGACGGAUCGCCGGCCUGAGAGGGUGGCCGGCCACAGGGGCACUGAGACACGGGUCCCACUCCUACGGGAGGCAGCAGUUAGGAAUCUGCCACAAUGGGCGAAAGCCUGAUGGAGCGACGCCGCGUGAGGGAUGAAGGUCUUCGGAUCGUAAACCUCUGAAUCAGGGACGAAAGACGCGAAAGCGGGAUGACGGUACCUGAGUAAUAGCACCGGCUAACUCCGUG
rnacentral:rRNA from 1 species